rnacentral:rRNA from 1 species
UACAGAGGGUGCAAGCGUUGUUCGGAAUUAUUGGGCGUAAAGGGUGCGUAGGCGGCGCGGUAAGUCGGGUGUGAAAUCUUGGAGCUUAACUCCGAAACUGCAUUCGAUACUGCGGUGCUUGAGGACUGGAGAGGAGACUGGAAUUUACGGUGUAGCGGUGAAAUGCGUAGAUAUCGUAAGGAAGACCAGUGGCGAAGGCGGGUCUCUGGACAGUUCCUGACGCUGAGGCACGAAGGUCAGGGGAGCAAACGGG